UAGGGAGCAAGCGUUAUCCGGAAUUAUUGGGUGUAAAGGGUGCGUAGACGGGACAGCAAGUUAGUUGUGAAAGCCCUCGGCUUAACUGAGGAACUGCAACUAAAACUAUUGUUCUUGAGUGCAGGAGAGGAAAGCGGAAUUCCUAGUGUAGCGGUGAAAUGCGUAGAUAUUAGGAGGAACACCAGUGGCGAAGGCGGCUUUCUGGACUGUAACUGACGUUGAGGCACGAAAGUGUGGGGAGCAAAC
rnacentral:rRNA from 1 species